GGUUUAGGGAUAUGGAUUGAUGAUAGAAGAUCUACAUCAGUAUGUGUAUUCCUAUGUUAUGGUGGUACGGUAUAUUGAAAGAGUUCUAAACAAUCAAUCAUUAAAAAUUUCACCAUGAAGGUAGAGUUCAUCAUCAUUUUCAAGGGUCCUAAGGCAGCUUUUUGGUUUAUGCAGUUUGUUGUGCAGUUCGGAGUGAUUACAUGAGAUGUCAUAUAACUCUGCUAUGACAACAUCGAUGCCAUAGCUCCAGCUAAGGAAUCAAGA
rnacentral:lncRNA from 1 species